UGGGGAAUUUUGCGCAAUGGGCGAAAGCCUGACGCAGCGACGCCGCGUGAAUGAUGAAGGCCUUCGGGUCGUAAAGUUCUUUAGACAGGGAAGAAUGUAUAUUGGAGUAACUGCCAAUAUAUUGACGGUACCUGUAGAAUCAGCCCCGGCUAACUCCGUGCCAGCAGCCGCGGUAAUACGGAGGGGGCAAGCGUUGUUCGGAGUUAUUGGGCGUAAAGAGCACGUAGGCGGUGAUGUAAGUCAUUAGUCAAAGACGAUAGCUUAACUAUCGUAAGGCUAGUGAUACUAUAUUGCUAGAGUGCCGGAGAGGAUUGCAGAAUUCCUAGUGUAGCGGUGAAAUGCGUAGAUAUUAGGAGGAAUACCCGUUGCGAAGGCGGCAAUCUGGUCGGUAACUGACGCUGAGGUGCGAAAGCGUGGGUAGCAAACA
rnacentral:rRNA from 1 species